GAUGAAGAACGUAGCGAAAUGCGAUAAGUAAUGUGAAUUGCAGAAUUCAGUGAAUCAUCGAAUCUUUGAACGCACCUUGCACCCUUUGGCUAUUCCGAAGGGUAUGCCUGUUUGAGUAUCAUGAACACCUCAACUCUCAUGGUUUGCCAUGAUGAGCUUGGACUUUGGGGGUCUUGCUGGCCUGUGGUCAGCUCCUCUCAAAUGGAUUAGCUUGCCAGUGUUUGGUGGCAUCACAGGUGUGAUAACUAUCUAGGCUUGUGGUUUUCCACCAGGUAACCUUCAGCAAUGGGGGUUCGCUGGGGCUCAUAAAUGUCUCUCCUCAGUGAGGACAGCUCUUUGAACGUUUGAUCUCAAAUCAGGUAGGACUACCCGCUGAACUUAAGCAUAUCAAUAAGCGGAGG
rnacentral:misc_RNA from 1 species